CCCCCUCCCGCCCCCCCCCAGGCCUGAAGCGAGGGCUGUGCCUGAAGAUCAACCACUUCCCCGAGGACAUGGAGUACGACCACGACAGCGCCGAGUACCUGCUCCGUGAGUCGCCAUGGCAACCAUCCAGCACCAUGGCAACCAUCCCAGCAUCGCCAUGGCAACCGUCCCAUCACCAUGGCAAUCAUCCCAGCAUCGCCAUGGCAACCAUCCCAGCAACACCAUGGCAACUGCAUUGACAUCACCAUGGCAACGACCUCAGCAUCACCGUGGUGACCACUCCAUCACCAUGGCAACCAUCCCAGCAUCGCCAUGGCGACUACCCUGUCACCAUGGCAACCAUCCUAGCAUCCCCAUAGCAACUGCAUUGACAUCACCAUGGCAACGAACACAGCAUCGCCAUGGCAACCAUCCCAGCAUCACCAUGGCAACCAUCCCAGCAUCCCCAUAGCAACUGUAUUGGCAUCACCAUGGCAACCGCCUCAGUGUCACCAUGGUGACAUCCCAGCAUCACCACAGCAACCACCCCUGACAUCACCAUGGCAACCGCCUGAGCAUCACCAUGGCAACCAUCCCAGCAUCCCCAUAGCAACCGCCCCCCCCGCGGCCACGCCCCUUAGCAACGCGGUUCCCAUGGCAACGCCCCCCUCCCCCAACACCCUCCCUCCACCCCCCCCGGGUAACGGAUCAGGGAUCUGCCUUCUGAUUGGCUGCUGGCCAGGAGAGCCUCCCUGCUGAUUGGCUGCCGGUCUCAGAGCAUGCCUGGCUCUGAUUGGCUCAUGGUGUCCACGGGCUCGGGGAUUCUGUGCUUUGAUUGGCUGUCGCUCCCUUUGCCCUUCACCCACUUCAGAAAACCUCCCUCCUGAUUGGCCUCUGAGCCUCUGUGCUCUGAUUGGCUCCUGACCCCAAAGACCCUCUUCUCCAAUUGGCCGGGGGCUGGGAGAUCCACACAGGUCUCUGAUUGGUUCCUGGCCCUGAAGGGUCUGAUUGGCCAAGGAUGAUGGAUCCCAUUCUGCUUCUGAGCCCUCAUUGGUUGCCACUCUAGAGGUCUCCCAUUGGCUGGAGCUAACAGAUCCCACUCAAAACCUGAGCUCCGAUUGGCAGCCGUGUGUCAGUCUCCUAUUGGCUGAAGCUGGCAUCCCUUGGGAUUCUAUGCAGUCUGAUUGGUCACCUGCUUCCUGAGCUCCCAUUGGCCAGAGCCAACAGAUCUCACUCCAAUCCAGAGCUCUGAUUGGCCAGGCACUUCCUGAGCUCCCAUUCACCAGAACCAACAGAUCCCGCUCUAAUCCUGAUCUCUGAUUGGCCAGCCGUAUGUCAAACUGCUAUUGGCCAUAACCAACAGAUCCCACUCAGUCCCUGAUCUCCGAUUGGCCAGCCACUUCCCGACCUCCCAUUGGCCACAGCCAACAGACCCCAUCCGAUCCAGAGCUCUGAUUGGCCACGCACUUCCUGACCUCCCAUUGGCCACAGCCAACAGACCCCAUCCGAUCCAGAGCUCUGAUUGGCCAUGCACUUCCUGACCUCCCAUUGGCCACAGCCAACAGACCCCAUCCAACCCAGAGCUCUGAUUCUCACCCUCUUCCCCACCUCCCAUUGGCCAAAUCUAACCUUCUCCCCCUCCCCACAUCCCCUCCCCCCCGCCCCCCCCCCUCCCUAACGGCGGGCUCUGAUUGGCUGCCCUCAGGGGUGGUCCGGGCCUCCAGCAUCUUCCCCAUCCUGAGCGCCGUGCUGCUGCUGC
ensembl:lncRNA